ACUGAUUUCUUCUGGUGUUUAGA
rnacentral:miRNA from 1 species